CCGCGGGAGACGGAGGCGGGCGGCCGCCUCAGGUACUAGGUGACUCUGAGUGGUGCCGGUCUCAGAGCCGCCUCGUGCCUCAGCGCGGCCUCCGCCGACACGUCCGCC